AGUACCUUAUACAUAACUUUGAUAUAAAUACAGCUGCUAACGUUUUCUCCCCAACUGUAAGUAGCGCGAAACUUUUCUAUUGUCGCCAUAUGCCAUUCAACUUAAUGUCAACGUAAGGCAUACAUCACAGCAGGUAAUAAAAUCGUGUCAAAAGAAUAAACAACUAACCAAAGGCAAGUCAAAGAUGAAGCGCAACUAAGCUGAGGUUUAUGUACCAAGUAUAAAGCGUGUACCUCUGAGGAAAACUGUGACGAAGAGGGUAAAAAUAUUAUAGCAAACAAAAACUAAAUGAUGAAUUAUUUCUAAUACAAAUUGAAUAAUGCUUGAAGAACUUUUGUGCCGACAAAAUUUAAGAUAUCGGAUAUAUUAUUUACAGACACUUAUGUAUAAAUCUCUGCUUUUCACAAAUUAUUUUCGUGGACUGAAAUUUCUUAAACGGCUACCAAAGCAAGAAAAAAUUCACGCAGCUCAAAAAAAAAAAAGAAUGCCAGGCUGCGCUUUGUUUGUUU